rnacentral:rRNA from 1 species
CGGGUGAGUAACACGUGGAUAACCUACCUAUAAGACUGGGAUAACCUCGGGAAACCGUAGCUAAUACCGGAUAAUAUUUUGAACCGCAUGGUUCAAAAGUGAAAGACGGUCUUGCUGUCACUUAUAGAUGGAUCCGCGCUGCAUUAGCUAGUUGGUAAGGUAACGGCUUACCAAGGCAACGAUGCAUAGCCGACCUGAGAGGGUGAUCGGCCACACUGGAACUGAGACACGGUCCAG